AUUGAACGCUGGCGGCAUGCCUUACACAUGCAAGUCGAACGGCAGCACGGGUGCUUGCACCUGGUGGCGAGUGGCGAACGGGUGAGUAAUACAUCGGAACAUGUCCUGGAGUGGGGGAUAGCCCGGCGAAAGCCGGAUUAAUACCGCAUACGAUCCGCGGAUGAAAGCGGGGGACCUUCGGGCCUCGCGCUAUAGGGUUGGCCGAUGGCUGAUUAGCUAGUUGGUGGGGUAAAGGCCUACCAAGGCGACGAUCAGUAGCUGGUCUGAGAGGACGACCAGCCACACUGGGACUGAGACACGGCCCAGACUCCUACGGGAGGCAGCAGUGGGGAAUUUUGGACAAUGGGCGAAAGCCUGAUCCAGCAAUGCCGCGUGUGUGAAGAAGGCCUUCGGGUUGUAAAGCACUUUUGUCCGGAAAGAAAUCCUUGACUCUAAUACAGUCGGGGGAUGACGGUACCGGAAGAAUAAGCACCGGCUAACUACGUG
rnacentral:rRNA from 1 species